AACGAACGCUGGCGGCGUGCCUAACACAUGCAAGUCGAGCGAGAAAGGGGAGCAAUCCCUGAGUAAAGCGGCAGACGGGUGAGUAACACGUGGGUAAUCUGCCCUCGAGCGGGGAAUAACAUCUCGAAAGAGGUGCUAAUACCGCAUAACAUCCAGGGGCCUGAGGGCUUUUGGAUCAAAGGUGGGGAUCUUCGGACCUACCACUCGAGGAGGAGCCCGCGCCUGAUUAGCUAGUUGGUGGGGUAAUGGCCUACCAAGGCGACGAUCAGUAGCCGGCCUGAGAGGGUGAACGGCCACACUGGAACUGAGACACGGUCCAGACUCCUACGGGAGGCAGCAGUGAGGAAUUUUGCGCAAUGGGCGAAAGCCUGACGCAGCAACGCCGCGUGGACGAU
rnacentral:rRNA from 1 species